GACGAACGCUGGCGGCGUGCUUAACACACGCAAGUCGAACGGAGUGGCGAACGGGUGAGUAACACGUGGGUGAUCUGCCUUGCACUUCGGGAUAAGCUUGGGAAACUGGGUCUAAUACCGGAUAGUGCAAGAUGAGCUCGCGGCCUAUCAGCUUGUCGGUGGGGUAAUGGCCUACCAAGGCGUCGACGGGUGGCCGGCCUGUGCGGGUGUACGGCAACGUUGGGACUGAGAUACGGCCCAGGCUCCUACGGGCGGCAGCAGUGGGGAAUAUUGCACAAUGGGCGGAAGCCAGAUGCAGCGACGCCGCGUGGGGGAUGAAGGCAUUCGGGUUGUAACCACCUUUCGUCGUGGACGCGGUACCUGUAUAAGAAGCACCGGCUAACUACGUGCCAGCAGCCGCGGUAAUAC
rnacentral:rRNA from 1 species